UGAUGAUGAUGAUGAUGAUGAUGCUGAUGAUGAUGAUCACUAUCAUCACCACCAUCAUCAUUAUAA
rnacentral:pre_miRNA from 11 species